CCUACGGGAUGCAGCAGUGAGGAAUAUUGGUCAAUGGACGAGAGGCUGAACCAGCCAAGUAGCGUGAAGGAUGACUGCCCUAUGGGUUGUAAACUUCUUUUAUAAAGGAAUAAAACGAGGCACGUGUGCCUUUUUGCAUGUACUUGAAGAAUAAGGAUCGGCUAACUCCGUGCCAGCAGCCGCGGUAAUAUGGAGGAUCCGAGCGUUAUCCGGAUUUAGUGGGUUUAAAGGGAGCGUAGAUGGGUUGUUAAGUCAGUUGUGAAAGUUUGCGGCUUAACCGUAAAAUUGCAAUUGAAACUGGCAGUCUUGAGUACAGUUGAGGUAGGCGGAAUUCGUGGUGUAGCGGUGAAAUGCUUAGAUAUCACGAAGAACCCCGAUUGCGAAGGCAGCUUACUAAACUGUGACUGACAUUGAUGCUCGAAAGUGUGGGUAUCAAACAGGAUUAGAUACCCUAGUAGUC
rnacentral:rRNA from 1 species